GACAGCAGGGCUUAGCUGAGCUUCUGGUGCGCCGUUCCACGCCAGUAAAUGAAAGAUUUAAGCAUUCUGGGUUCGUGUUUUAGGAGGACCCCUCCGACAGCUGUGUGGAGACUAUUUCGGAAAAUGCAAAUCUGCAAGAGGAAGACCCAUCAGGAGGCUGCGUUUGUAAUUUGAGUGAAAGGUGCUGAUGGCUUCAGAGGUACUGGCAAACAAGAUAGAAGUGCACAUCUUCAGAGGCUUAGCUCUGUUGACUACUGGGUAAGCACACGCAGUCUGCACAGAGUCACUCCAGAGAUUGGAAGACAAGCAAGAACCUGAGUUCAGUCUCCAGCACCAAAACCAAAAAAGAUUGGAAGACAAAAUUGGAAGAUACCUUAAGGAAGAAAAGCAGAAAUGCAGAGAAAGGACAGCAAGGACCAAGGACAAGAACCACGGAAACCUAAAAGUCAAGAAGCAGAAUGACCAAUGACCCUUGGAAGGACAUUAGAGUCACUGUUCAGACUAAGUGGGCCAAGAAAUUUCCCGGGUGGGAAUCAUUUCUGGGCAGGACUGUGAGUGCACAGAUGUGACCUUUGUGCCAAAACAAGCCUACUCAGACCAGAAGUUUUUAUCUAGCCUCUAUUUCUGUUAGCGCGUAACACAAACGGGAUGGAAAGCACAUCUCUGGGCAGAUAUAAGCAAUAACCGGAAACAAAAAACAUGUAGUUUGUUAAUUAGGUUUUCCACUUUGGUAGUGUAGUUAUUUUUGUUUUCUCAGUUUCUGAGUAACAAAUACUUAUUUAUUUUUCUUUAUUUGUUUCUUUCUUUAUUUUGCAGUCCUGGAAAUCGCACCCAGGACCUUGUGCAUUCUCAGCAACUGCUCCAUGCCUGAGCUACCUCACCAGCCCUUUCUAAAAUUUUAUUUUGAGAUAGAGUCUAAUUACAUUGCAAGGCCAGCCUUGAACUUGUGAUCCUCCUGUCUACACCUGAGUAGCUGAGAUUACAGGUGUGUGUCAUCAUACCCAGCAUUAAAGAUUGUUUUGAGGAAUUUAAACACAAACAUAAGCCAUACUUACUGGUUUACUUAGUUUUGAAGGAUUCUACUCCUCUUACAAAUUCUGAGAGAUAGGUAAAUUUGCUAAGUUCAUUAUUUUGUGUCUCAGAAUUAAGAAAAAAAAAUCUAGUCUAGCAAAAAGAUAUAUCUAGAAGAUAUAAAGUGAAGUAAAAUAUAAAAAAGAAUGCUGGUGAAGGCAAUGUGCUGCUAAAAGGGAUACCUUUCAGAACUAGUGGCUUAGAACAGUUUUCUUAAAUAUAGUUAGAUAUUUUACAAUAUAAAUUUAAGCAUUUAGUUGAAUAAUCUUAAUUGGUUGGCUCAAAUAAUUGCUCAAAUGAAUUUGGAGGAUAAAUAUUUAAAUGUAGCCUUCACAUGCAUUUCACUGUGGGUGAUGAUAUUUUAGCUGAUUAGUUUGGGAACAAGUUUGUUGUGUACCUUUACCUGACGUAGUGUUUGGUUUUGACCUGUUUGGACAGAUAUCAAAUUACAUGUCUACUAUGCUUUAUCAGGACCUAGUUUGUAAAGGAUUAAACACAGAAGAAUUAAUUUUUAAAAUUAGUGUUAACGAUGCAGGAUAUGGUGGUGCAGGCCUAUAAUCCCAGC